rnacentral:sRNA from 1 species
CUUACUCCCGCUGACCUUCUGGUAUAUACAUUGAUCCAUGAUUUUUUUACAAAUUUGAAUCAAGAAAUUACAUCAUAAAAUUUGAAAUACCAUUGACGGGACACUUGUUUUAAGCCGUAUAUAGAUUUCUUGAGUUUGCAGACCAAAUGCUGACCAUCAUUAGAAGGGAAUCUUUCAGGUUGUUUCAUGUAAACCUUCUCUAGAUCUCCAUUGAGAAACGCCGUUUUCACAUACAUUUGUUGCAAUUCUAAGUCAAAAUUGGCUACUAAUGCCAAAAUGAUGCGCAAGGAAUCUUUCUUAGAUACACGAGAGAAUCUCCCUGUAAUUGAUUCCUUCUUUUUGAGUGAAUCCUUUAGCAGGGAGUCUCGCCUUGUAUCUAUCAAUGCUGCCCAAUGAGUCUUUCUUUAUCUAAAAGACCCAUUUGCAUCAAAUGGCUCUUGCACCGUCAGGCAACUCAACAAGACUUUAUACUUCAUUACUCUUCAUAGAAUUCAUCUCCUCUUUCAUGACAUUGUACCAUAAUUCUGAUUCUUUAGGACUAAUGGCUUGUGAAAAAGACUUAAGAUCAUCUACGGCUCCAAUGUUGUAGUCAGAUUCUU